rnacentral:rRNA from 1 species
GUUUGAUCAUGGCUCAGGACGAACGCUGGCGGCGUGCCUAAUACAUGCAAGUCGAGCGGACCAAAGGGAGCUUGCUCCUGGAGGUUAGCGGCGAACGGGUGAGUAACACGUGGGCAACCUGCCUGUAAGACUGGGAUAACAUCGAGAAAUCGGUGCUAAUACCGGAUAAUAAAAAGAACUGCAUGGUUCUUUUUUGAAAGAUGGUUUCGGCUAUCACUUACAGAUGGGCCCGCGGCGCAUUAGCUAGUUGGUGAGGUAACGGCUCACCAAGGCGACGAUGCGUAGCCGACCUGAGAGGGUGAUCGGCCACACUGGGACUGAGACACGGCCCAGACUCCUACGGGAGGCAGCAGUAGGGAAUCUUCCGCAAUGGACGAAAGUCUGACGGAGCAACGCCGCGUGAGUGAUGAAGGUUUUCGGAUCGUAAACUCUGUUGUUAGGGAAGACAAGUGCCGUUCGAAAGGGCGGCACCUUGACGGUACCUAACGAGAAAGCCACGGCUAACUACGUG